rnacentral:rRNA from 1 species
UAGGGAAUCUUCGGCAAUGGGGGGAACCCUGACCGAGCAACGCCGCGUGUGUGAAGAAGGUUUUCGGAUCGUAAAGCUCUGUUGUUAAGGAAGAACGAGUGUGAGAAUGGAAAGUUCAUACUGUGACGGUACUUAACCAGAAAGGGACGGCUAACUACGUGCCAGCAGCCGCGGUAAUACGUAGGUCCCGAGCGUUGUCCGGAUUUAUUGGGCGUAAAGCGAGCGCAGGCGGUUAGAUAAGUCUGAAGUUAAAGGCAGUGGCUCAACCAUUGUAGGCUUUGGAAACUGUUUAACUUGAGUGCAGAAGGGGAGAGUGGAAUUCCAUGUGUAGCGGUGAAAUGCGUAGAUAUAUGGAGGAACACCGGUGGCGAAAGCGGCUCUCUGGUCUGUAACUGACGCUGAGGUUCGAAAGCGUGGGUAGCAAACAGG